rnacentral:rRNA from 1 species
UAUGGCCAUACCACCCUGAACAUAUCCGAUCUCAGAAGCUAAGCAGAGUCGAGUUUGGUUAGUACCUGGAUGGGAGAAAUCAGUAAAGAACCAGGA